rnacentral:rRNA from 1 species
CACGUAGGAGGCGAGCGUUGUCCGGAAUCAUUGGGCGUAAAGAGCGCGCAGGCGGCUUGGCAAGUCGGGUGUGAAAUCCCGGGGCUCAACCCCGUGACUGCAUCCGAUACUGUCAGGCUAGAGGUAGGUAGGGGAGAUCGGAAUCCCUGGUGUAGCGGUGAAAUGCGCAGAUAUCAGGAGGAACACCGGUGGCGAAGGCGGAUCUCUGGGCCUUACCUGACGCUCAGGCGCGAAAGCUAGGGGAGCGAACAGG